CGGCCAUCUUGGCUCCUCCCCCCGAGAUUGAUAAAUCCAAGAAAAUAGAGAAGAUCAAAAGAAGAUACAUAGCUGAAAACACUUGAAGGUAUAGACUACCUUGAAAGUCACGCAAGAACUGUUCUUCCUGCUUUCCAUAUCCAAGAUGCAGAAGUCAAGGCACAGGGAUGUGAACAUACGUGGGUCAUGUUUCAUAGUACCUGGACCAAGAGAAGAGGUCUCUCUAUGUUGAGAAAAUGGCAAUGCCUUCCCACAGCAUGGUACUUCUUCUCCUUCUGAGAAUGAUACUGUUACAUAAAGGUUUUCGGCGGUGCCCCAGAACACGGAGAUUUCCUUCUGCCCAGCUGCAUGAGGCACACAUAUCCUGGGAUGGCAUUAGGAAGAUGGCCACUUUCACAUCAACUUAUGUACUCUGGCACCAACCUCUCUUCUCCCUACCCAGCCCAACUUCCCACCCACUGCUAUUGGGAUGAUAUGUGCUCUUGGGUAAGGAAUGCAUAUCCAAAUGCUACCUCAGAUCAGGGAGGUAAUACCUGGCCUCAAUUCUCUGCCCUUAAAGAAUCUUGCAGCCAAAUUGGGUAAAGAGUCAAGACCCAUCGGUGUGCUUUAUUCAGGAGACCCAUCUCACGUGCAAAGACACACAUGGGCCCAAAAUAAAGGGAUGGAGUAAUAUUUACCAAGGAAAUGGAAAGCACACACACACAAAAAAAAGCAGAGGUUGCAAUCCUAGCCUCUGAUAAAACAGACUUUAAACCAACAAAGAUCAAAAAAGACAAAGAAGGGCAUUACAUACUGGUAAAGGGAUCAAUGCAACAAGAAGAGCUAACUCUCCUAAAUAUAUAUGCACCCAAUACAGGAGCACCCACAUUCAUAAAGCAAGUUCUUAGAGACCUACAAAGAGACUUAGACUCCCACACAAUAAUAGUGGGAGACUUUUAACACCUCACUGUCAAUAUUAGGCAGAUCAACAAGACAGAAAAUUAACCAGGAUAUUCAGGAUGUGAACUAAGCUCUGGACCAAGAGGACCUAAUAGACAUCUGUGGAACUCUCCACCCCAAAUCAAUAGAAUGUACAUUCUUCUCAGCACCACAUCGCACUUAUUCUAAAAUUGACCACAUAAUUGGAAAUAAAACACUCCUCAGCAAAUGCAAAAGAAUGGAAAUCAUUACAGUCUCUCAGAUCACAGUGCAAUCAAGUUAGAACUCAGGAUUAAGAAACUCAGUCAGAACCGGACAACGACAUGGAAACUGACAACCUGCUCCUGAAUGACUACUGGGUAAAUAACAAAAUUAAGGAAGAAAUAAAUAAGUUCUUUGAAACCAAUGAGAACAAAGACACAAUGUACUAGAGUCUCUGGGACACAGCUAAAGCAGUGUUUAGAGGGAAAUUUAUAGCACCAAAUGCCCACAGGAGAAAGCAGGAAAGAUCUAAAAUCGACACCGUAAUAUCACAAUUAAAAGAACUAGAGAAGCAAGAGCAAACAAAUUCAAAAGCUAGCAGAAGGCAAGAAAUGACUAAGAUCAGAGCAGAACUGAAGGAGACAGAGACACAUGGACACAGGAGAAUGAGAACACAUGGACACAGGGAGGGUAACAUCACAAACUGGGGCCUGUCAGGGGUGGGGAGUGGUGGGGAGGGAUAGCAUUAGGAGAAAGAUCUAAUGUAGAUGAAAGUUUGAUGGGUGCAGCAAACCACCAUGGCAUGUGCAUACCUAUGUAACAAACCUGCACAUUCUGCACGUGUAUCCCAGAACUUAAAGUAUAAUAUAAUAAAAGAAUCUCAUAGCCAUCAUCUGUUGUAUACAACAGACCUCAAAUUAGUCUCCCUCUGCUUCUCCAACAGUGUGGCCUCUUCUAUGAAGCUGUCUACCCAUGGGUUUCCCCAACAUCCCAUCCCCCAGCCCUCAGGUUUCUCCUCCCCAUCAUCUUCACUUCAGAAAGAGAAAUGAAAAAGAAAUUCAAGUGACUCAUCGGUCCACAUAGGCAGGAGUGGGAGAGGCUGAGAGAGUGAAUUUGUGGGUCCAGAUGAAUAUUUCCGCAGGCCUCUUGACUGCUUCACACGAUCUGCUGUGCUUCAUGAAAAAGAGGAUAUAAAAAUCUGAGUGGUGCCAUAUUGUCUCCAAAAGCAGCCAGAGUGAAAAUGAAGUGUGACUGCUGCCUCCCAAAACGCAGGGCAGCUCCUCCCUCACAUCCACAAAUGUGGUUCAGCGGGCUGCCUUGCCCUGUUUCAGGAAGCCUACGUGGAGGGCACUGUGGAGCCCCAGCCACCUUCUUCACACAGGGCUAUCUGGGGCUUCAGUGCCAGGUCCCCUGGAUACACAGCAGAGUCUGCUGGGGGCACUGACCAGGAUGCCAAUGCAGGGGUGCUUUCUCGGAGGCUCAUCCCACCAGCAGUGCCAGGUUUGACAAGCCCCACAAAUCUAUGCUCUUUGGCCGCCUUGAGAACUUUCCAACCAGGGAUUCUUACUGAGCAGAGUGUGCAUGGCGAGGAAGAGUCAGAGUGGGGGGGGCCUUGCCCCUCCCUCAACCAGAGGGACUCUACUUUAAUGUACCUUACAUACUGGGCACUUUCCUAAGAUUUCACUGGAAAAAAUCGGAGCAAACAAAAAUGGAAACAACCUGGAAAGCCCCCAUGGGUCUAGCCCAGUGGUUCUCGAACUUGAGUGUGCCUCAGAAUCUUCUGGAGGGCUAGAUAUAAAACACAGAUGGCUGCGCCUCUCCCCAGACUUGCUGAUUCAUUAUUGCUGAUAUUUCAUUUUUAUGUUUUUGUUUUUUUGAGAUAGGUUCUCACUCUGUUGCCUAGGCUGGAGUAUAGUGACCCAAUCACUGCUCACUGCAGCAUUGACCUCCUGGGCUCAAGCAAUCCUCACACCUGAGCCUCCCAAGAGGCUGGGACUACAGAUUCUUGCCCGAUCGCCCAGGCUGGAAUGCAGUGGUGUGAUCUCAGCUCACUGUAACCUCCACCUCUCCCAGGUUCAAGCAAUUCUCCUGCCCCAGCCUCCUGAGUAGCGGGGAUUACAGGUGCAUGCCACCACACCCAGGCCCUGGGCAGGAGUUGGCACAUUUUCCUCUGUGCACAGAUCUUCCCCGUGCCAGGCUUACAAAAGGAAGUUUCCGGAGCUGAGCAGCUUUUCAGGAGCUCCAUGGCCAGUUCACCUCCCCAUUCUGACACCUAACGCCGUGAGGCUCCGUCCUUGAAGAGAUGUAACAUGUUCUGGAGAAGAUGUCAAGGGUCACUUCGAAGUGUGCACAGGUGAGUUAAUGAGAGCUGCUGCCUUUCAAUGUGGGCUACUGACGCUUUCUCCAACAGGUAGGUGUCUUGUGUGCAAAGGCCAAUAGUAUUUCCUGCAAUCUGGAGGCAGAUUCUGCUCACAAUCUCGAGACACAGCAAACUCUCCCCACCCGAGAAGAGGAUGGGAUGAGGCACACUGAAGAGGUAGGGAGGAGGAGAUGGAGAAAAGAUAUAUUUUUGUUUGGUGGAGAACACACACUUUUCAAUUUCAACCAAGACGUUUGAAAUGCACACAAUCACAGUUUCUUCUCCUUUCCCUCAGGAAAGAAAACUGAUCCUGUAGCCACAGAAAAACAGGACUGAGACCAGGAAGGGCAAGUCGUGUGUGUCAGCAUUGUGGACCUUUAUAUAAAUAAUAAUUUUCCAGUGGGAACUGUGAUCUCUUCUUGUCUCUUCUAUUUUUAAAUGCUAAUUACUUCUGAUUUUGUUUACGUAGGCGGAGCUAAUAAGAACAUUUGCUUCAUAACCAUUGAACCUAAUGUAUCUGUUUUUGGACACUGGUGAUUUAUUUUUGCACACAUGCUCCAAAUUGGUGCUAAUUACUUUAAAGGAUCAGAGUUUCUAUUCCAAGAGGGAUGACGACAGAAUGUCAAUUUGGAGUCUCUGAGCAUAAUGUCCCAAUUAUCAAUGCAUUCCAGACCAGAAUGGACUUGGCACCUUCUUGAAGGGAUUUGGCUUCACUUUUAUCAGCCAGUCCCUGGUUGUAGCUUCAUUAAAACUUGCUUUCUAGUAACUUGUGGAUGUGCCUAUACUUUUCUCUGUCUCAAAGACCCUUCAGUGUCAUAUCAGUAUCCUGAAUACCUACCUUUUCAUUUCCAGAUCAAAUACUUCUCCCUCUGAGCCUUUUUUGAUCUCUUUGGCCCAAGAUAAUUUUAAUUCCU
rnacentral:lncRNA from 1 species